AAAGACUUAGUCCUAACCUUACCGUUAGUUCCUGCCAAACAUAUACAUGCAAGUAUCUGCACCCCAGUGUAAAUGCCCUCAGCCCCUUACCAAGGGAACAGGAGCGGAUAUCAGGCACACCUACAACCGUAGCCCAAAACAUCUUGCUCAGCCACACCCCCACGGGUACUCAGCAGUAAUUAACAUUAAGCAAUGAGCGUAAGCUUGACUUAGUUAUGGCAGACAAGGGUUGGUAAAUCUUGUGCCAGCCACCGCGGUCACACAAGAGACCCAAAUUAACAGUACGCGGCGUAAAGUGUGGUGAUACGCUAUCACUAAAACUAAGACCAAAAUGCAACUAAGCCGUCAUAAGCUCAAGAUGCCCCUAGGACCCCUAUUAAUAAAAUCUUAGCGCCCUGAUUAACUUUACCCACGAAAGCUAAGGCACAAACUGGGAUUAGAUACCCCACUAUGCUUAGCCCUAAAUCUCAGCGCUUUGCUUUCUACUAAAGCGCUCGCCCGAGAACUACGAGCAUAAACGCUUAAAACUCUAAGGACUUGGCGGUGUCCUAAACCCACCUAGAGGAGCCUGUUCUAUAAUCGAUAAUCCACGUUACACCCAACCUCUCCUAGCCACAUCAGCCUACAUACCGCCGUCGCCAGCUCACCUUCUCUGAGAGCCCAACAGUGAGCAUAAUAGCCAAACCCGCUAACAAGACAGGUCGAGGUAUAGCCCAUGGAGCGGAAGAAAUGGGCUACAUUUUCUAGCAUAGAACAAUUACGAAAAGGGACGUGAAAUCGCCCCAAAAGGCGGAUUUAGCAGUAAACUGGAACAAUAAAGUCCUCUUUAAGCUGGCCCUAGGACACGUACACACCGCCCGUCACCCUCCUCACAAGCUAUCUCACACUAUAAAUAAUACCCCCACCAGCUAAAGAUGAGGUAAGUCGUAACAAGGUAAGUGUACCGGAAGGUGCACUUAGCACA
rnacentral:ncRNA from 1 species